GCUCUAGUGGCGCAAUGGUAGCGCGUUUGACUUCUAAUCAAAAGGUUCCGAGUUCGAGUCUCGGCUGGAGCG